rnacentral:rRNA from 1 species
GAUGAACGCUGGCGGCGUGCUUAACACAUGCAAGUCGAACGAAGCGGCUUCGAAUGAACCUUCGGGUGAUUGAAAAGCUGACUUAGUGGCGGACGGGUGAGUAACGCGUGGGUAACCUGCCGUAUGCAGGGGGACAACAGUUGGAAACGACUGCUAAUACCGCAUGACGCUUCUUAGGGGCAUCCCUGAGAAGUCAAAGCUUUAUGUGCUGAAAGAUGGCCUCGCGUCUGAUUAGCUAGUUGGUGGGGUAACGGCCCACCAAGGCGACGAUCAGUAGCCGGUCUGAGAGGAUGAACGGCCACAUUGGGACUGAGAUACGGCCCAG